GAUCCUGGCUCGGGACGAACGCUGGCGGCGCGCCUAACACAUGCAAGUCGAACGGAGAUUACAGGCGGAAGUUUUCGGAUGGAAGCUUGUAAACUUAGUGGCGGACGGGUGAGUAACACGUGAGCAACCUGCCUAUCAGAGGGGGAUAACGAUUGGAAACGAUCGCUAAUACCGCAUGACAUAGCGAAACCGCAUGGUUUUGCUAUCAAAGAUUUUAUCGCUGAUAGAUGGGCUCGCGUCCG
rnacentral:rRNA from 1 species